GGGGCAACUGGCUGUGCAAGUUCCAAUACAUUUAUAGAAGCACUUCGGGAGAGAAUGUUCAGGCCUUCACUGUCUACCAUCAUUUCUGAAAAUUCAAAGAUUGUUACAGUUGAACCAAAUGAAACUGUUCUAGCCACAGCCAAAAAGAUGCUCGAAUGUCGAAUAAGCUCUGCUAUCAUAACAGUUGACAACAAACCACGAGGGAUUUUAACUUCAAAGGACUUGUUGAUGCGAGUCAUAGCACAAGAUCUUCCCCCUGAAUCCACU
rnacentral:misc_RNA from 1 species